AACGAACGCUGGCGGCAGGCCUAAUACAUGCAAGUCGAACGCACCGCAAGGUGAGUGGCAGACGGGUGAGUAACGCGUGGGAACCUUCCUAGUAGUACGGAAUAACUCCGGGAAACCGGUGCUAAUACCGUAUAAGCCCUCCGGGGGAAGAUUAUCGCUACUAGAUGGGCCCGCGUCGGAUUAGCUUGUUGGUGAGGUAAUGGCUCACCAAGGCUUCGAUCCGUAGCUGGUCUGAGAGGAUGAUCAGCCACACUGGGACUGAGACACGGCCCAGACUCCUACGGGAGGCAGCAGUAGGGAAUAUUGGACAAUGGGCGAAAGCCUGAUCCAGCCAUGCCGCGUGAGUGAAGAAGGCCUUAGGGUUGUAAAGCUUCUUUUGGCGGGAAGAUAAUGACGGUACCCGCAGAAUAAGCUCCGGCUAACUUCGUGCCAGCAGCCGCGGUAAG
rnacentral:rRNA from 1 species